GGAGCUGUGGCUCAGAGGAAGAGCUUUUGCUUUGAAUGCCAAAGGCCCCAGGUUCAAUCCCUGGCAGCUCCA